AUUUGAAAUCGAUGAACCGCGCGAACGGCUGUUGAAGAAAUUGGUGUACAAUGUGCGUGGUCGGAAUCAUCUUAUUUGACAGAACUAAGUGAGUACAGACGGAGUCUUUCACAUUCAAAUGCAGCGGAAUCGGAUACAGAGGUACUGGAGGAUGUUUUACUCGUUUCUACAGUGCGUGGUUCAAACAACAAACCUGACUCCAGAACCUAAACUGCCUGCUUGAAGAUGAACACGGAUGACGCAAUACAAGUCUCCAUUUACAACAAAGGCCAUGAGGAAGAACUCUAUCAUGCACACAGUAAAUAGAGCUCAGUGCUGCUAACUGGGAGAGCAGCUGGAAAACUGGAGAAGAACAGUUGAACAACUAUUAAUACAGAGGACUGUAUUAUCUUCUACAAGAACCACAACAAGCAAAGACAAUGAUGCGCUCUCUGAGCAAACAACAGUCAGAAGCUUGAUUAUGCACUGCACUUUUCUGAGUUCUUCAAAAUGUGAUGCUGAGUUAGAUUUUGAUGUUGUUAUUUUU